rnacentral:rRNA from 1 species
AUUGAACGCUGGCGGCAUGCCUAACACAUGCAAGUCGAACGCGUGGCGGACGGGUGAGUAAUGUCUGGGAAACUGCCUGAUGGAGGGGGAUACCUACUGGAAACGGUAGCUACUACCGCAUACCAUCAGAUGUGCCCCGAUGGGAUUAGCUAGUUGGUGGGGUAACGGCUCACCAAGGCGACGAUCCCUAGCUGGUCUGAGAGGAUGACCAGCCACACUGGAACGGAGAAACGGUCCAGACGCCUACGGGAGGCAGCAGUGGGGAAUAUUGCACAAUGGGCGCAAGCCUGACGCAGCCAGGCCGCGUGUAUGAAGAAGGCCUUCGGGUUGUAAAGUACUUUCAGCGGGGAGGCGGUACCCGCAGAAGAAGCACCGGCUAACUCCGUGCCAGCAGCCGCGGUAAUAC